GGGAACUCACACCUGACAAAGGACCUUUCUUGUGGGGAAAGUUCAGAAUUGUGGGGAACUCUCUCGUUCCCCACAAAUAUGGUCAUGGGGUUUUUUGAAUUCUACGUGUUCUACUGAUAAUAUUUAUUCGAUUUGUGGUCAUUUUUGAAAAAAAUCCCCAUAAGUCCGUAAAAUUGACUCGCGGUAAUUUUCUCACUGCACCGUAAAACGAAUGUUUGAGGAUGCUGGGAAAUGUUCAUUCGGAACGCAGCGGAAUUUAAACUGGUCCCCAUAUGAUACCAAUUUAUUGCGGGCAAUGGCUGCUCCGAGAAUAUGUGGUUUUCGGGUUUUCACCACAAGAGCAAAUUAUACAACUUUAUUCUUGAAAAUGUUAGAGACUGAGACUUGGAGUCAAAGUCAACAGACACGCUUGCAUGGACAUGAAGGAUGUAAAGAACUAGAGUAUUAUAACUGAAAGCAUUUUGUCUGGAUUUGUGUAUGGAAACAGAAGGAUUUAGUAUUGGUAUCCUGAAUUUUUGUCAACUUAUAGCCAAGAUCCUGUACUUAAGCUGAAUGUGGAGGACAGAUGUACACACAGUACUAGUAUAGAGGGUAUUAUCUCGGUACCUUAAAACUCCAAACGACAGGGAGAAGAAGAAAACUGCAUAUUUCCGAUGUAUCUUCACAGCAACAUGACCCAAAGCACUACCAUUAAAGGAUUUGAUUUGACAUUAAGGAAGUAAAAAAAGGAAGGCAUUAGUCAUAAAGAAAAUUAAAGAACUUUAUGUCUGAAUAUUAUAUCAACAAUACCAUAGAUCUAAAGAUGGAUUAUUUUGCCUUAUAAUUUAUAUUAAUGCAUGUACAUGUAAUUUUAUUCUUUUUAUAUAUACAAUCAUGUAGUGUUACCAUUUUUCACAAAGCUUAAAAAGUUAUGUAGGGCCACACCAAUUUAAUUUCUUGUUCGUCGGACAUUUGAUUUAAAAAAAGUACAAGCAGUUAAAUGAUAAUAUUAUUACUCUUUGCUGGGCAAUUUUUUAGGCAGAUCGUGAAAAUUUGAGCGGACAAUUAUAUUUUUUCUGAUUUACAGAGUAAGCAGAUAUAAAAUACAAUGAAUAGAGCGGAAAUGGAACAGAAAAUAGCACAGAAUUCCUAUGGUGCGAGAAAUUGAAAUUAAUAUUAUUUGUAUGGUUUUGUUUAAAUAAGCGUGUGGGUCCGACGAACAAAAAUUUUCAUUAGUGUGGCCUAGAUCAUUUAGAUUCAAUUCAUUUUUUUCUUCAAAUUACCACAUGCCAGAAUUCAUAAGAAGGAAAUUUAUAUAUGGCUGGUGGUUGUGGCCAUUUUUAGACUAUAAUGAUCUCCUUUAGAAGGAGAACUUAUAAAAUUAUACAAAAAAUGACCAAAUUUUAAAACUAAAAUGUACAGAAUUUUUCUUUGCCAAAUGUUAGUUCAUAGAACCACAAUUCUUCAAUCAUGUAUACUUGGAGAUCAGUGGAUGGAUAUUCAUAUACAAUACACAGCUGAAGCAGGUUUUGUUAGGUUAUUUUAUUUUCAAAAGGAAUGCAUUAUUUUCUUCAGUCCAUUAAUGUUAAGCUCUUUAAUAGAAACAAUUGUAGAAGAUUUAUCAUAUUUUGUUUAGAAUUUUGAAGAAUUUGUUAAUCACUCAGUGAAAAUUAUCCCUUGUCAUAAUACAAAUUUUUAAAAUGUAUGUACAAAUACUUUUAUGUUGAAAUGACCAUGCAAGGAAGAAAAUAAAACAAGUUUAAGUGUA